GGAAAGAUGAAAAGAACUUUGAAAAGAGAGUUAAAUAGUACGUGAAAUUGUUGAAAGGGAAACGAUUGAAGUCAGUCAUGUCAGUGGGAAUCAACUUAGGGAAAACUCUGAGUGCACUUCUUCGCUUGGCGGGUCAACGUCGAUUUUGGAUAUCAUAAAAUGAUUGGGGGAAGGUAGCUCCUUCGGGAGUGUUAUAGCCCUUGGUAGAUGUAAUGUCUGGGAUCGAGGAUUGCAAUGGAUACCCUUUGGGUUAGCCGUCUUAUCUCUAAUUGGUAUUGGGUUACAGAUAGCAUGCUGACUGUAAUCUAAUUAUUGGUUAAAAGGUUAGAACGUGCAUAAAUUUAUUAAGGACGUUGACGUAAUGGCUUUAAACGACCCGUCUUGAAACACGGACCA
rnacentral:rRNA from 1 species